CCACCCAAAUCAGAACCCUAAUUUCUCACUUCCACCUCUCUUAACCUUUGAUUAUCAUGCAAUGUCCGAAGGUUCCAUCAAUUCCACUGAAAGUCGAAAUGCUAUAAAAUGUCAUUGUGGAAUAAAUGCUCUAAAUCUGACUGCUUGAACCGAUCCAAAUGCUGGGAGAAGGUUCUACAAAUGUCCAAGACCCAAAGUUACUAAUUGUGGAUAUUGGAAAUGGCAAGACAAACAUCAACUCCCACCAAGGGCAGUAACGGUUAUAUUAGAUCUAAAGAGUAAAUUGGAUAAUAUGAAGGUGGAAAGAAACAAAUUGAAAAGGAUAGUUGAUGGAAUGGAUGUCAAUGAAAGGUUUAAUAAGAGGAAUCUAAUUGAUGAGAUGGAGGCUAUUAGUAUUGAAAGGGACAAUUUGAAGAAGAAAAUUGAAGAAAAUGAUUUUGUCAAUCUCCAAGAGGCUGCCAAACUUAGAAUUUCGGAGGAGAAAGUUGAAGAAAUGGAGUUUAUAUUAGCUCAAGAGGCGGGAAGAGUUGUGACUUUGGAGAAGAAAAUCAAGAAGUUGAAAACUAUCAUUUUUAUUUCAUGUGCUUUGUUCCUUGUGUUUCUUGUUGGGAUGAUGAAGUGAAUGUAGUUAUGUAGGUUGUUGGGAUGAUGAAGAAAAUGGUGUCGUUGUAAUGAAGCUGAUGAAGGUCCUUGUGUUUGUUGUAAUAGUUAGGUAGGUUGUUUGUGUUUGUUGUAAUGAAGGUGAUGUAUGAUGUUUAAGUUGUUGUAUUUUGUUGUGAUGUAAUGAAGUUCAUGUGUGAAGUUUUAGUUGGUG